rnacentral:rRNA from 1 species
AACGAACGCUGGCGGCAUGCCUAACACAUGCAAGUCGAACGAGACCUUCGGGUCUAGUGGCGCACGGGUGCGUAACGCGUGGGAACUUGCCCUUAGGUUCGGAAUAACAGUUAGAAAUGACUGCUAAUACCGGAUAAUGUCUUCGGACCAAAGAUUUAUCGCCUUUGGAUGGGCCCGCGUAAGAUUAGGUAGUUGGUGGGGUAAUGGCCUACCAAGCCGACGAUCUUUAGCUGGUCUGAGAGGAUGAUCAGCCACACUGGGACUGAGACACGGCCCAGACUCCUACGGGAGGCAGCAGUGGGGAAUAUUGGACAAUGGGCGAAAGCCUGAUCCAGCAAUGCCGCGUGAGUGAUGAAGGCCUUAGGGUUGUAAAGCUCUUUUACCAGGGAUGAUAAUGACAGUACCUGGAGAAUAAGCUCCGGCUAACUCCGUGCCAGCAGCCGCGGUAACAC